UACGAAGGGGGCUAGCGUUGCUCGGAAUCACUGGGCGUAAAGCGCACGUAGGCGGAUUGUUAAGUCAGGGGUGAAAUCCUGGAGCUCAACUCCAGAACUGCCUUUGAUACUGGCGAUCUUGAGUCCGGGAGAGGUGAGUGGAACUGCGAGUGUAGAGGUGAAAUUCGUAGAUAUUCGCAAGAACACCAGUGGCGAAGGCGGCUCACUGGCCCGGGUACUGACGCUGAGGUGCGAAAGCGUGGGGAGCAAACAGG
rnacentral:rRNA from 1 species